rnacentral:sRNA from 1 species
UGAUAAGGCACACAUGCUGGUUUCGUUCAUUAGAACAGAUAAUUUCAGACUGAGCAGCUCAACGGUAUUUUGGCUAGAGAAUUUUGCUUUCAUCUUGGCCUUCAUUACUUACGUAAAUCUCGCAGUGAUCAGAAAAGUUUCUCCAGGAUUUAAAGUCUCACUUGGAUUUAAUAUGGCUUCUUGGAUCUUGUCUCCUUGCAAGUUCCCAUUUGGGGUUGAAAGUAGGCUGUAAAUGACUGAGAGAUUAAUAUUCCAAGUUGAUAGUAUGAUAUGCAACUCAUUUGUUAUAAUUAGUCCCACUGUGCUUCAUCAGGAAGCGGUGGGAUUUAUGGACUCUGGGCUGUAGAUUAAGUCUCCUGGUCCUUCUGAUGGAGAGUUUAGUAGAAGGCAGUGAAGGGUGAAGUUCCUGUUUGUCUACUGCUGUGUAAAGCUGAACUUUACAGUCCUAAAGAAGGGAGAAGCGAAAGAACUCAACUCACAUCUCUUGCUUAGUUUCAAAUCUGUUUUUGCAUUUGAGUUAGCAGGUUCUAGUAAAUACUGCUUGCUGU